ACGGAAAGAAACGGAAAGCAAAACAACCGAGAGUAACGGAAAGAAACGGAAAGCAAAACAACCGAGAGCAACGGAAAGCAAAACAACCGAGAGUAACGGAAAGAAACGGAAAGCAAAACAACCGAGAGCAACGGAUAACGGAAAGAAACGGAAAGCAAAACAACCGAGAGCAACGGAAAGAAACGGAAAGCAAAACAACCGAGAGCAACGGAAAGCAAUGGAGAUAAAAUGUCUUUUUACGUGGAGUGAUGAGCAGACGUUCAACUUCAUUAAGUUCAGAGCGGAGAAUGAGAGGCUGUUCACAGGGCACAGAAACGCCUCCUCUCAGGGAUAUGAUGAAAUUAUCAAAAUCAUGGGGCUGGAGGGGAAAGUCACUCCGCAGCAGUGUAAGAAGAAGUGGGAAAAUUAAAAAAAAAAAAUACAAGGACUUAACACUGCCAAAAACAGGGUCAGGGACAGAUGCAGGAGAGGUCACUGCUGCCUCGUGGACUUGCUAUGCAGCAAUGCAUGAAGCCAUUGGCCAGAGACCCUCAGUCAGGCCAGUCAGUCUGUUUUCAUCUGGACCAUCUAGUGUAGAGAGACCCCAGACAUCUGUCAGUGAAGUUGAGGUGGAAGCAAGCUCACCAGGCUCCUUCACAGAGACAGACACAGCAAUCCUGCAAGCAGUAAACUUCCCAGACCCACAGACACAUGGCAGUGAUCAACCAGGUACCUCAACAGAAGUUAGACCAGGAAAGAGAAAGAGGAAGAGUGAGGAGAGUAUUGUAGAGUACCUUAAAGAGUACUGCACGCGCCUUGAGAAAACACAGAAGGAAGAAAAUGAAAGGGAUAAUGCUUGGCUCCAAAAUUCUCAGCAGCAAAUGGACAGGAUGUUAGAUUUGUUUGGGAAACUGGUGGGCCAUUUGACAGAAAGGUAGAAAUUAACUUUCUUAAAUUAAAGUUCUGUUCUGUUGUUUGCUUUUUAUGAAUAAUAUUUACUUUUAACACUACUGAGUGAUGGAUUUAUAUGUCAUAUGAAAUAAUAUGUUACUUACUUUUGCUGUA